GAUGAACGCUGGCGGCGUGCCUAGUACAUGCAAGUCGAGCGAACAGAUGAGGAGCUUGCUCCUCUGACGUUAGCGGCGGACGGGUGAGUAACACGUGGAUAACCUACCUAUAAGACUGGGAUAACUUCGGGAAACCGGAGCUAAUACCGGAUAAUAUAUUGAACCGCAUGGUUCAAUAGUGGAAGACGGUUUUGCUGUCACUUAUAGAUGGAUCCGCGCCGCAUUAGCUAGUUGGUAAGGUAACGGCUUACCAAGGCAACGAUGCGUAGCCGACCUGAGAGGGUGAUCGGCCACACUGGAACUGAGACACGGUCCAGACUCCUACGGGAGGCAGCAGUAGGGAAUCUUCCGCAAUGGGCGAAAGCCUGACGGAGCAACGCCGCGUGAGUGAUGAAGGUCUUCGGAUCGUAAAACUCUGUUAUUAGGGAAGAACAAAUGUGUAAGUAACUAUGCACGUCUUGACGGUACCUAAUCCGAAAGCCACGGCUAACUACGUG
rnacentral:rRNA from 1 species